rnacentral:rRNA from 1 species
GGGCGUUAAGUUGCAGGGUAUAGACCCGAAACCCGGUGAUCUAGCCAUGGGCAGGUUGAAGGUUGGGUAACACUAACUGGAGGACCGAACCGACUAAUGUUGAAAAAUUAGCGGAUGACCUGUGGCUGGGGGUGAAAGGCCAAUCAAACCGGGAGAUAGCUGGUUCUCCCCGAAAGCUAUUUAGGUAGCGCCUCGUGAAUUCAUCUCCGGGGGUAGAGCACUGUUUCGGCUAGGGGGCCAUCCCGGCUUACCAACCCGAUGCAAACUGCGAAUACCGGAGAAUGUUAUCACGGGAGACACACGGCGGGUGCUAACGUCCGUCGUGAAGAGGGAAACAACCCAGACCGCCAGCUAAGGUCCCAAAGUCAUGGUUAAGUGGGAAACGAUGUGGGAAGGCCCAGACAGCCAGGAUGUUGGCUUAGAAGCAGCCAUCAUUUAAAGAAAGCGUAAUAGCUCACUGGUCGAGUCGGCCUGCGCGGAAGAUGUAACGGGGCUAAACCAUGCACCGAAGCUGCGGCAGCGAACGUAUCACUUAAAGCGAUUCAGCGGGUUACGAUUGACGGAGCGAAGCGACGUCAAAGCGUAUACAAAGUCGAGUCGGUUUAAGGAUACGUUCGUUGGGUAGGGGAGCGUUCUGUAAGCCUGUGAAGGUGGCCUGUGAGGGUUGCUGGAGGUAUCAGAAGUGCGAAUGCUGACAUAAGUAACGAUAAAGCGGGUGAAAAGCCCGCUCGCCGGAAGACCAAGGGUUCCUGUCCAACGUUAAUCGGGGCAGGGUGAGUCGACCCCUAAGGCGAGGCCGAAAGGCGUAGUCGAUGGGAAAC